rnacentral:rRNA from 1 species
CCCAUGGUCAGGUUGAAGCAGAGGUAAGACUGUGUGGAGGACCGAACCCACCAGGGUUGAAAACCUGGGGGAUGAACUGUGGGUAGGGGUGAAAGGCCAAUCAAAUUCCGUGAUAGCUGGUUCUCUCCGAAAUGCAUUUGGGUGCAGCGUCGGGUCAUUACGUCCCGGGGGUAGAGCUACUGGAUGCUUGCGGGCCCGUAUCGGGUACCAACAGCAACCAAACUCCGAAUACCGGUGACGCGUAUCCCGGCAGUGAGUCGGCGGGGGAUAAGCUUCGUCGUCGAAAGGGAAACAGCCCAGACCGUCGUCUAAGGUCCCGAAGCGUGUGCUAAGUGGGAAAGGAUGUGGAGUCGCAUAGACAGCCAGGAGGUUGGCUCAGAAGCAGCCACCCUUGAAAGAGUGCGUAACAGCUCACUGGUCUAGUGGUUCCGCGCCGACAAUGUAGCGGGGCUCAAGCACACCACCGAAGACGCGGCAGUAUUUUGUACUGGGUAGGAGAGCGUCCCAUGAGGGGCGAAGCGGCCGUGUGAACGCGCCGUGGACUUCAUGGGAGUGAGAAUGCAGACAUGAGUAGCGAGAGACGGGUGAAGAUCCCGUCCGCUGGAUGACCAAGGGUUCCAGGGCCACGUUCAUCGUCCCUGGGUGAGUCGGGUCCUAAGGCGAGGCCGACAGGCGUAGUCGAAUGGAUGAACGGGUCGAUAUUCCCGUACCGGCUUUCAGCCGCCAAAACCGAGGCUUGGAGUACUAACCUCCGGGUCCGGGCUUACUGCUCCUUCGGGGGCGGGAUGCCCUGGCCUGUUGGGACCGAUCCUUGUAGUAGGUCAGCGCAGGAGUGACGCAGAAGGGUAGCCGGCCGCGGAGGUGGUCUUCCGUGGUCAAGCACGCAGGGCGUGGGACAGGCAAAUCCGUCCCGCAUGGGUCCGAGGUGCGAUGAUGGGGGCCUUAUGGCCCGAUAUCCGGUGAUCCCGGCUGCCGAGAAAAGCUUCGGCGUCAGGCUCGAAGCCGCCCGUACCCCAAACCGACACUGGUGGUCAGGUAGAGAAUACCAAAGCGAUCGAGCGAAUCCUGGUCAAGGAACUCGGCAAAUCACUCCCGUUCCUUCGGUUUAAGGGAGACCCCCGAUGGUGAACACACUUGCUGUGGGAGCUUUUGGGGGUGGCACAGACCAGGGGGUAGCGACUGUUUACCAAAAACACAGGUGCAUGCGAAGGCGCAAGCCGCUGUAUAUGCACUGACGCCUGCCCGGUGCCGGAAGGUUAAGAGGAUCCGUCAGCCUUCGGGUGAAGCGGUGAAUUCAAGCCCCGGUAAACGGCGGUGGUAACUAUAACCAUCCUAAGGUAGCGAAAUUCCUUGUCGGGUAAGUUCCGACCUGCACGAAUGGCGUAACGACUUCCCCACUGUCUCGACCAGGAGCUCGGCGAAAUUGCAGUACGAGUAAAGAUGCUCGUUAAGCGCAGAAGGACGAAAAGACCCCGGGACCUUUACUAUACCUUGGUAUUGGCAUUCGGUGUGGAUUGUGUAGCAUAGGCGGGAGGCCGAGAGGCGCGGUCGCCAGAUCGCGCGGAGCCGUAAGGUGAAAUACCGCUCUGUUCGCAUUGGAUGUCUAACCUCGAACAGUCAUCCUGUUCAGGGACAGUGCCUGGCGGGUAGUUUAACUGGGGCGGUUGCCUCCCAAAGAGUAACGGAGGCGCCCAAAGGUCCGCUCAGCCCGGUUGGCAAUCGGGUGGCGAGUGCAAGUGCACAAGCGGGCUUGACUGCGAGGACGACGGUCCGAGCAGGGACGAAAGUCGGGACUAGUGAUCCGGUGCCGGUGUACGGACGCGGCAUCGCUCAACGGAUA